UGGGGGCAUAUUCAGCAAACGGCUAGAGCGAUGGACGUGUUAAAGAGCAGCUGCAGUUGAUGUUCAGCUGAUGGGCAUCUCUGAUAUGCAUCCAUACGUGUGACCUGCUGAAGCGUGUCUGUGUGCUGGGUCAUGUGACCGUGGAAGUGUGCAUGGAGCGUGCCAGCUUUGAAUAUGCGUGAGGCAGGCUAAGUGCUACAGACUCAUGAUUUGCCUCCCCCCAACACCACCAGCACUACUGAGACUUCUGACAGGUGGAGAGUGAGAGCUAAGCCUGCUUCCUUGAUUCUGUGGCCGAAGAGAAAAUAACAAACACUGGCAGCAAAAGAGCAAGCAACUGCAAUAAUAAGCUGAAGGCAAUAAUAGG
ensembl:lncRNA